AGUCCUUGCUGUCUUAGAGCUCACUGUAGAUCAGGCUGGUCUUGAACUCAGGGAUCUGCCUGUCUCUGUGUCUUGAGUGUUGGGAUUAAAGAUGUGCACCACCGUGACAGGCUCAUUUAUAGUCUUAAUCCAAGUUUCUUUCUUCACCUGAAACAUAGCUUCAGGUGAUAAUAGGUUUGCUAGUGAUAAAUUUAGUCAGGAUUAUGUUUAUCUGAAAAUAUUCUUCUUUUGUUUCUUGGUGGUUAUAGGUUAGGUUUACUUAGAGGACCUGAAAAAUACCAUCUCAUAUUUCCCGGUUUGCAUUGCUGAUGUAUUGAUCUUCUCUCCAAAUUAAAGCAUUCCCUUAGGAGGAAGAAGAAAUGCUCAUAAAAGUCAGCGAGCAAGUGAACACUGAGGGCUCUGUGAGACUUGGACAGGUACAACUCCAUAAGGCCCUCCCUCAGUCACACAGGAAAUAAAAAAUUGCUAGGGAAAGAGAAUUUUUCAGUGAAUUUGCUUUUAAAUUGUGCAGGAUACUCUAGAAAGUUAGAUUUUCUGAGUUCCACUGGGGUGUGCUUUUGUGUGAUGUAGCUAGCUGAGAGUUAUCCGUGUCCUCUAAAUCCCCUCAGUAAACUCAUUGACUCACAAAGGUAGACAUGGGUGCAAUCCUUUUGUUGAUGUGUCAUAGAUAUUUUAUUUUUUUGGAGGGGGCAGGGAUGGGAAGAAGAUAUUCAUUCUCAUCUUUCCGGGGAACGUCACACAGUUGUUCUCCUUUGUAUGUGAUCUUGUGUUCACAUUUUUCAUCAUUGUUCUCAAAGGAAACAAGGCCAUGAUGGCUUGUUCACAUUCUCACAGCAAUAUGCCGGAGCUUCCGUGGUAUAAAGGAAAAAGGUUUAGGGUUUAUCUUGUCAGCAUUCAGGAGGCUGGAAGGCUAAAAUCAGGGUGCCCUCACAAUGCUCUGAGACGUCUCUCCUUGCCUUGCAGUCUCUCGUGACCUAACAUGGCCCCUUUGCCCACAUCUUCUCCUUCCGUGUAGAUUCCAGUCAGAGUAAAGGAGACUCAUCUCAAACAGCCUUAUUUGAAUUUAAUCACUUCUUCAAAUGCUGUGUCUGCAAAUGUAGUCCCAUUUUGAGUUCCUGGAAACUUUAAUAUAUGAGUUCAAAGGUGACCUAGUUCAGCCUACAGCAUACACCUGAGAAUAUUCACGCAUAAGUCUUUUUUUUUUUUUGUUUACUUUUGCUGCUGUUUAGAAUGAAGAAAAGCCAGGCCAUUAAGCAGUGCAUAUAAAACUUUAAUAAGAGUCAGACAUACAAAUGAGCUUCGUUUUAUGCAAUGUUAACACAGGGGGAUUACGGUUUUCUGAGAAUGCAUCAUGUAAAGAAGGACUUGAAGGAACAGGGGAGAUUGUGGGAGUCUGUAAGAGAGCUCGUUCUAGGCAGGAAGCAGAAGGAGCCGAGGGAGACGUUUACCUGACUGCUGCAGGGGUAGUAUAUUGGCUGGCACAGCGGCAUAGGAUGAAUGGAGAAGAGAUUCGCAUAAACCCAUGGAGCAAACUAACAAUGUGUGCGAUUUUCGGUGGUGUCGGGUUCCUUAUGAUGCUCUUGGCAGGAUGUGAGCCACCAAUGAAGAAGACAAGGAUGUGGGUGGUGGCUCGAGCCAGAGUUCCCAUCAGCGGUGGAAGUCACCCUGGUGUACCCUGGUGUCCCAGUCCUCACCGUUAUUAACUCCACUGGUUGUAGCCGUCACAUCUUUGGCAUUGGAACUGAAGCACCGAAGAUAAUUUCUACUUUCUCCACCGUCUAACUUUCAGUUUUAAGGGGAACUUGUCAUAUGUAAAAAAAAACAAAAAAUUGUAAAUGUUUCUUUGUGGGCAUCUUUUUACAUUUGUUUCUUUCUUCCUGGAAUCAUAUUUAGUGGCCUUAUGAUAAGCAAGAAGAGGUGAUGUUUCCAAAGAUUAUAAUUAUAGAAAAAACGGAGUGUUGGCACAGGCCUGUAAUCUGAGCAGUUGGAAGGUUUGAAGUUCAAGGUCUUCUUCAGCUUCGCAGUGAGUCAGGUCAGGGGCUAGGCUGCCAUACUUGAGACCCUGUCCCACAUUUAGAAAAGGAAAACUCAAAGAAAUAGAAAUAUCCAAAUCUCCCAUUUUUCCCAAGGGGCAGAUGGUAGAUUUCCUUAGCAGAACAUACACCUUCCCAGAGAGAACAAGAUUCAAUGAACGUGUAAAUAGUAUCUUGUUUUCUUUCUUUCUUUACUAAAAUGAUACACCCAGCACAUUUUCAGUUUGGUAACUUUCAUUUUGGUUUUUAGUUAAUGUUGUUUUAUUAGCUUCUAUCCCUUGCACCGCAUUGAGAUCCAUCACACUGUUAUCCAAAUUUCUGCUGUACUGGGAACAUCCUGAUCACUACCCCUAACGCCCCUGACCAUCUUCACUUGGCUAAUUUCUAAAUUGGUAACUAAUUACAUGCAGAUAAUUAAAGAAUAAGCAAGAGUUCCCACCGUUAGGUAAAGUUGGGGGCAUGAUGUUAAGAAAGAGAAAGCCAAUUUCAAAUCUCGAUUGUUUGGAACAAAAUUUCAAAGUUAAAAGUAUCACGAGGCAAAAAUUCCAAGUAUUAGAAUUAUACUCAGUAGUUUCAUUUCCCUUGUGAAAUUUUAUUUUAAGAGAAUAAAAUGUGGCCCAUAAAGGUAUCUGAUCUCUCAGUGUGCCUUAUGCUUCAUAUAAAUCAAAUCCAGAAAAUAAGUGGGGCAUAUGUAAAAUGAAACCUUAAACAUACCUGGGACCAUCUUUUGCGAGGCACCGAUUGCUGCGUUAUCAAUUUUUUCUUGGAGCGUUUAUUAAAGAAUAUCUUUUGUUUUAAUUUGCCCCACACAAAGCAGCUUAGAGACAUUUACAGAGACGAAGAGGGAGCUUCAAUUAACCUUGGCUGCCGAGAUAUUUUAUGUGCAUGUAUUAUGCUACAACAGGGUAAUUACCUAAUACCUUUUGUGAAGGAAUUCUAAUAAAGAAUGAAAUUGAUUUAUACAUA
rnacentral:lncRNA from 1 species